UACGGGGGGGGCAAGCGUUGUUCGGAAUUACUGGGCGUAAAGGGCGCGUAGGCGGCCUGCUAAGUCGGAUGUGAAAUCCCUCGGCUCAACCGAGGAACUGCAUCCGAUACUGGCGGGCUUGAAUCCGGGAGAGGGAUGUGGAAUUCCAGGUGUAGCGGUGAAAUGCGUAGAUAUCUGGAGGAAUACCGGUGGCGAAGGCGGCAUCCUGGACCGGUAUUGACGCUGAGGCGCGAAAGCUAGGGGAGCAAACGGG
rnacentral:rRNA from 1 species